UACGAAGGGGGCUAGCGUUGCUCGGAAUCACUGGGCGUAAAGCGCACGUAGGCGGCUUUGCAAGUUAGAGGUGAAAGCCCAGGGCUCAACCCUGGAAUUGCCUUUAAAACUGCAUCGCUAGAAUUGUGGAGAGGUAAGUGGAAUUCCGAGUGUAGAGGUGAAAUUCGUAGAUAUUCGGAAGAACACCAGUGGCGAAGGCGACUUACUGGACACAUAUUGACGCUGAGGUGCGAAAGCGUGGGGAGCAAACAGG
rnacentral:rRNA from 1 species